rnacentral:rRNA from 1 species
GACGAACGCUGGCGGCGUGCCUAAUACAUGCAAGUAGAACGCACAGUUUAUACCGUAGCUUGCUACACCAUAGACUGUGAGUUGCGAACGGGUGAGUAACGCGUAGGUAACCUGCCUGGUAGCGGGGGAUAACUAUUGGAAACGAUAGCUAAUACCGCAUAAUAUUGAUUAUUGCAUGAUAAUUAAUUGAAAGGUGCAAUUGCACCACUACCAGAUGGACCUGCGUUGUAUUAGCUAGUAGGUGAGGUAACGGCUCACCUAGGCGACGAUACAUAGCCGACCUGAGAGGGUGAUCGGCCACACUGGGACUGAGACACGGCCCAGACUCCUACGGGAGGCAGCAGUAGGGAAUCUUCGGCAAUGGACGAAAGUCUGACCGAGCAACGCCGCGUGAGUGAAGAAGGUUUUCGGAUCGUAAAGCUCUGUUGUAAGAGAAGAACGGGUGUGAGAGUGGAAAGUUCACACUGGGACGGUAUCUUACCAGAAAGGGACGGCUAACUACGU